rnacentral:misc_RNA from 1 species
GAUGAAGAACGUAGCAAAAUGCGAUAAGUAAUGUGAAUUGCAGAAUUCAGUGAAUCAUCGAAUCUUUGAACGCACAUUGCGCCCGCUGGUAUUCCGGCGGGCAUGCCUGUUCGAGCGUCAUUUCAACCCUCAAGCCCCCCGGGUUUGGUGUUGGGGAUCGGCUCUGCCUCACGGCGGUGCCGCCCCCGAAAUACAUUGGCGGUCUCGCUGCAGCCUCCAUUGCGUAGUAGCUAACACCUCGCAACUGGAACGCGGCGCGGCCAUGCCGUAAAACCCCAACUUCUGAAUGUUGACCUCGGAUCAGGUAGGAAUACCCGCUGAACUUAAGCAUAUCAUAAGCGGAGGA